rnacentral:rRNA from 1 species
GCCUAACACAUGCAAGUCGAACGGCAGCACAGGGGAGCUUGCUCCCUGGGUGGCGAGUGGCGGACGGGUGAGUAAUACAUCGGGACCUACCCAUGACGUGGGGGAUAACCUCGGGAAACCGGGACUAAUACCGCAUACGUCCUACGGGAGAAAGCGGGGGACCUUCGGGCCUCGCGCGUCUGGACGGACCGAUGUUCGAUUAGCUAGUUGGUGGGGUAAAGGCCUACCAAGGCGACGAUCGAUAGCUGGUCUGAGAGGAUGAUCAGCCACAUUGGGACUGAGACACGGCCCAAACUCCUACGGGAGGCAGCAGUGGGGAAUAUUGGACAAUGGGCGCAAGCCUGAUCCAGCAAUGCCGCGUGUGUGAAGAAGGCCUUCGGGUUGUAAAGCACUUUUAUCAGGAGCGAAAUCGGCAAGGUUAAUAACCGUGUCGUCUGACGGUACCUGAGGAAUAAGCACCGGCUAACUUCGUGCCAGCAGCCGCGGUAAUACGAAGGGUGCAAGCGUUAAUCGGAAUUACUGGGCGUAAAGGGUGCGUAGGCGGUUAGUUAAGUCUGUUGUGAAAUCCCCGGGCUCAACCUGGGAAUGGCAAUGGAUACUGGCUGGCUAGAGUGUGUCAGAGGAUGGUGGAAAUUCCCGGUGUAGCGGUGAAAUGCGUAGAGAUCGGGAGGAACAUCAGUGGCGAAGGCGGCCAUCUGGGACACACUGACGCUGAAGGCCGAAAGCCGUGGAGGAAACAGCAUUAGAUACCCUGGUAGGCCCGCCCUAAACGAUGCGAACUGGACGUUGGUCUCAACUCGGAGAUCAGUGUCGAAGCUAACGCGUUAAGUUCGCCGCCUGGGGAGUACGGUCCCAAGACUGAAACUCAAAGGAAUUGACGGGGGCCCGCACAAGCGGUGGAGUAUGUGGUUUAAUUCGAUGCAACGCGAAGAACCUUACCUGGCCUUGACAUGUCGCGAAUCCUGCAGAGAUGCGGGAGUGCCUUCGGGAAUGCGAACACAGGUGCUGCAUGGCUGUCGUCAGCUCGUGUCGUGAGAUGUUGGGUUAAGUCCCGCAACGAGCGCAACCCUUGUCCUUAGUUGCCAGCACGUAAUGGUGGGAACUCUAAGGAGACUGCCGGUGACAAACCGGAGGAAGGUGGGGAUGACGUCA